UCCGUAGGUGAACCUGCGGAGGGAUCAUUACCGAGUUUACAACUCCCAAACCCAAUGUGAACGUUACCAAACUGUUGCCUCGGCGGGAUCUCUGCCCCGGGUGCGUCGCAGCCCCGGACCAAGGCGCCCGCCGGAGGACCAACCAAAACUCUUUUUGUAUACCCCCUCGCGGGUUUUUUUAUAAUCUGAGCCUUCUCGGCGCCUCUCGUAGGCGUUUCGAAAAUGAAUCAAAACUUUCAACAACGGAUCUCUUGGUUCUGGCAUCGAUGAAGAACGCAGCGAAAUGCGAUAAGUAAUGUGAAUUGCAGAAUUCAGUGAAUCAUCGAAUCUUUGAACGCACAUUGCGCCCGCCAGUAUUCUGGCGGGCAUGCCUGUCCGAGCGUCAUUUCAACCCUCGAACCCCUCCGGGGGGUCGGCGUUGGGGAUCGGCCCUCCCUUAGCGGGUGGCCGUCUCCGAAAUACAGUGGCGGUCUCGCCGCAGCCUCUCCUGCGCAGUAGUUUGCACACUCGCAUCGGGAGCGCGGCGCGUCCACAGCCGUUAAACACCCAACUUCUGAAAUGUUGACCUCGGAUCAGGUAGGAAUACCCGCUGAACUUAAGCAUAUCAAUAAGCGGAGGA
rnacentral:rRNA from 1 species